CUAAAUUCUGAGGGAAAAAUGACCCCCACCCCAAACCCACACUGAUUGCUGGAAAUUAAGUCAUUAGAGGUCCACCUAACGGCAAACCCCAGGCACUGCAUCUGGUGGGUUCACUCCCCAGUCGGGCGUGUGGGGAGAAGGGAGUCUGGCAGGUGUCCUCACAGAGGCAGGCGCUGAGCUGUUCAGACUCACGUUCAAUGCCACGGCAGUUUCAGUGCCUGUGGAUGUGCGCCCUGGGCUGCGCAGGCCCCGGACUACUAAAUGUCAGCUUGAUGGUGGCUCCACUUUACGCUUUGGUCAGCUUGCUCUCAGAACCGAGGGGGCACUUCACUUGUACCCACACACGCUUCCCUCACCAACAGAAGAAAGUCAGCAUUGCACACAGAGCCACAUCAAUGUCUCAAAAGGACUUCAGAGAAGACCUGUUUGGGUCCAUUUCCAGAAACGAAAUGUCCAGCCUCUCUGUGCUUAGAUUUUACCCUCCUUUCAAGCUAAUAGGUUAGCCGGUUGCUGUUUCUUGCAUGCUGCCAGAAGACAAGGGAUGGAUCAGAGACUAGAGACUUUAUUAUGCAGAGCAUGGCACCCAGCAUGAACACCAGCGUCUCUGGUGGGGCCUCCUGGAGUCUCAGGGGAGCAGCCGGAUGGCAUAACCCAGAGGGUGACCACACAGGCAAUGAGCUGAGGAUCUUGGAGCUGGGGGGAGCCACUGCUUUUAUAGCACGCAAGCCUGCUCUUUGUCCAGGGGGAGACAGUCCCUUGUCCCACAAGGUCACCAGCUGUGUAAACAACCCCAAGAACUGGCUGAGAUAAAACAGUGGUUAGGAUUUUGCAUUCUUGGCACACACAGCAGGACGUGAGGGACCCAGGGAGGCUCUCUCCCGACAGGGACCACCUCUGUGGCUGAAAAGCCAGAGACACACAAUUAACUGGCCUGCCAGAACUGUGUGGAAUGGGAAAGCAGCAGUUCCCAAAGGAGAGGGUGCGGGGAUAAACAAAAACAAAAACAAAAACAUAGCAAUGGCAACAGCAAGAGCAGCACGUGUGCACCAGCCUCCAAUGAGCCAGAGGGGG
rnacentral:lncRNA from 1 species